GCAGUUGCUCAACCAGGAGCGGAGCCAUGGAUGGGGGCCAACCAUAGAGGUCCUGGUGUUUCUGUUUUGGCUGGCCAGCGGUGCGUCGUACCGCGUGGUGUCGAGGGCAUUCGACAUGCCCAGGACCACGGUGCACAACGUCGUCCAUAGGGUCUGUGGCUGUGUGAUCGUGGCGAUGCCAAGGGUGAUCCGGUUACCUUCCACUGCUGAGGGGCAGAGAGAGGUUCUGUCCACGACGCCCGGGUCCUGAGGCACAGCCCCCUGUUCCAGUCUGCCGCGUACCCACCCCCUGAUACCUUCUUGUUGGGUGAUGGGGGGUACCCCUGUCUGAUGAGGCCCAUUUCCCUCAUCACACCAUACAAGAACCCACUCAGGGGAGUGGCACAACAGAGGUUUAACGCGCAUCAUGCCAGAGCUCGUUCGGUCAUUGAGCGGGCUUUUGGCAUGAUGAAGACCAGGUGGAGGUCCAUCUUUUUCUGUGCCUUGGAGGUGGACGUCUCAUUUGUGCCAGAUGUCAUUGUGUGUUGCACUAUGCUUCACAAUGUAUGUCUGGGCAAUGAUGAUGUCCUACCGGUGGAUGAGGAGGACCCUGAAGAGCCCGUCGGGGGAGAGGACCAUGGCGAAACAUCAAGUGGUGGUGCCCUGCGAGACAGCAUUGCAGAUCAGCUGUCCGCACUUCAGUGUCUUCCAUCGGGACACGA
ensembl:lncRNA